CUUCAUUAUUAUCAGCUCUAGAUGUAUGCAAUUGUGUUUUGAUAAAUAGUUGGUGGUAGUUUAGGUAGGAAACUCAAAAACACCUGAUUGUUCAGAUAGGAAACUUGCAAAAAAAGUGAUACUUAAAUGUGUGUUUUUGACCAUUAUCUCGUUAGAAAUUAUAUGACUUCCUAAUGCAAGUAUUAUUGAAGUUUGUCGUAGUUAUAAAUUAUAGGAACUCUAAUAUUAAACUACCACAUCUAAGUUUGUCAAUGGCCAUCACCACUAUGUUCCCUUUGGCUCAUAUCUGAUGAAAGAAAUAGAAGAUUGUUUCACA